CUGUCCAUUGCCGGGGGACAACAGAUGGAAACGUCUGCUAAUACCCCAUAGUCCGAGAGGUUAAAGGAGCGAUCCGGCAUAGGAGGUACUCGCGUCCUAUCAGCUAGUAGGUGGGGUAACGGCCCACCUAGGCGAAGACGGGUAGCCGGCCUGAGAGGGUGACCGGCCACACUGGAACUGAGAUACGGUCCAGACUCCUACGGGAGGCAGCAGUGGGGAAUAUUGGGCAAUGGGGGCAACCCUGACCCAGCGACGCCGCGUGAGUGAAGACAUCCUUCGGGAUUUAAAACUCUGUUGUAUGGGAAGAGCAGAAGACGGUACCAUACGAGGAAGCCCCGGCAAACUACGUGCCAGCAGCCGCGGUAAUACGUAGGGGGCGAGCGUUGUCCGGAAUUACUGGGCGUAAAGCGCACGCAGGCGGGCCAAUAAGUCGGCAGUUAAAGGUACGGGCUCAACCUGUACAGGUCUAUCGAUACUGUUGGUCUUGAGUAUGUGAGAGGGAAGUGGAAUUCCCGGUGUAACGGUGAAAUGCGUAGAUAUCGGGAGGAACACCAGUGGCGCAGGCGGCUUCCUGGCACAAUACUGACGCUCAUGUGCGAAAGCUGGGGCAGCGAACGGGAUUAAAUACCCCGGUAGUCCCAGCCGUAAACGAUGGAUACUA
rnacentral:rRNA from 1 species